ensembl:misc_RNA Metazoa_SRP Metazoan signal recognition particle RNA
GCUGGGCAGGGUGGCUCAUGCCUGUAAUCCCAGCACUUUGGGAGGCUGAGGUGGGAGGAUCACUUGAGACCAGGAGUUCAAGACCAGCCUGGGCAACACAGGGAGACCCCAUCUCUU